rnacentral:rRNA from 1 species
AGCGAACGCUGGCGGCAGGCUUAACACAUGCAAGUCGAACGGGCGUAGCAAUACGUCAGUGGCAGACGGGUGAGUAACGCGUGGGAACGUACCUUUUGGUUCGGAACAACCCAGGGAAACUUGGGCUAAUACCGGAUAAGCCCUUACGGGGAAAGAUUUAUCGCCGAAAGAUCGGCCCGCGUCUGAUUAGCUAGUUGGUGAGGUAACGGCUCACCAAGGCGACGAUCAGUAGCUGGUCUGAGAGGAUGAUCAGCCACAUUGGGACUGAGACACGGCCCAAACUCCUACGGGAGGCAGCAGUGGGGAAUAUUGGACAAUGGGCGCAAGCCUGAUCCAGCCAUGCCGCGUGAGUGAUGAAGGCCCUAGGGUUGUAAAGCUCUUUCGACGGGAACGAUAAUGACGGUACCCGGAGAAGAAGCUGCGGCUAACUACGUGCCAGCCGCCGCCGUAAU